rnacentral:rRNA from 1 species
UAGCGAUCCGCCGGUGUGUAAUUACGCCCCGGCUGUGGGAGCUUCCCGGGAAACCAAAGUCUUCCGGUUCCGGGGGAAGUAUGGUUGCCAAGCUGAAACUUAAAGGAAUUGACGGAAGGGCACCCCCCGGAGUGGAGCCCGGCGCUUAAUUUGACUCCACCCGGGAAAACCCCCCCGGGCCGGACACCCGAAGGGUUGACAGAAUGGAAACUCUUUCCUAAUUCCGUGGGUGGGGGUGCCUGGCCCUUCCUAAUUGGGGGAACCAUUUGUCCGGGUAAUUCCCAAAACCAACCAAACUCUGGGCUAUUAAAUAAACCAAAUAUUUAAAAAUAUAUCCCGCUUCCUAAAAGGACCAGCCGCCUCCAACCCCCUGAAAUAAAACAAUAACCGGGCUGUGAUGCCCUUAAAUGUCCCGGGCUGCCCCCCCGCCACCCUGAAAGAAUCCAUGUGCCUUACCCCCAAUUCGGAAGAACCCGGUAACCCAAGUUAAUUCCUUCCUGGUUGGGAUAAGGAAUUGCCAUUAAUUCCCUUAAACCAAGAAUUCCCAGUAAAUGCCGGUCAUAAGCUCGCGUUGAAUACCUCCCUGCCCUUU